rnacentral:antisense_RNA from 1 species
CUUCCUUUCCUGCAUUAAGCAAAUGAUGCUCCGAUGUUUCUAGGUCUCUCCACCACUGCAAAAUGCUCAGAGAAGUGGAGGGAGUGAAAAGGAAGUUGCCUACUAGUCUGAAGGAUACUGGAAAGUCGCCUUCAAAUCUAAAGUGAAGACUGGGGGUCGGGGGAUGCCCCCUUCCUGAAGAGGGAAUAAGGGUCCCUCCCCUAAAAAGGAACCUCUGUUCGGGUGAAGGCUUUCCCCACCCUGAAAGAGAGGCGUGUAUGUGGAAAGGUGGUGGAAUGUUGUACCCUGAAGAGGAGCCUGGAUUUGAAGAAGUGUCCCAACUCUGAAGGAGGAAGAGGCAGCUCCCCAGCCGUACUCACCGAGACUGCCGGCGAAACCGUCCAUCUUGCGGGGAAAGCGCCGGGCUCCGGGCUCAGAGGGGCGGGCACUUCAUUCAGCGGACCGACAGAGUGGCCGACGCUGAGCCUGACCCGCUCGCCCUCUAGGUCGCCCGGCUCGGCUCCCGGCUCCCGCCUCCGUCGUCCGUCCGUUCGCCCUGGGGUAGUCAGCC